CCCCGUACGUGAUGUAGUGUUAGGGGUUCCGCCCCUUAGUGCUGCAGCUAACGCGUUAAGCACUCCGCCUGGGGAGUACGACCGCAAGGUUGAAACUCAAAGGAAUUGACGGGGAACCCGCACAAGCGGUGGAGCAUGUGGUUUAAUUCGAAGCAACGCGAAGAACCUUACCAAAUCUUGACAUCCUCUGACCCCUCUAGAGAUAGAGUUUUCCCCUUCGGGGGACAGAGUGACAGGUGGUGCAUGGUUUGUCGUCAGCUCGUGUCGUGAGAUGUUGGGUUAAGUCCCGCAACGAGCGCAACCCUUAAGCUUAGUUGCCAUCAUUAAGUUGGGCACUCUAAGUUGACUGCCGGUGACCAAACCGGAGGAAGGUGGGGAUGUACUUUCAAAUUUAUCAUG
rnacentral:rRNA from 1 species